AUCACUUCUCGGCCUUUUGGCUAAGAUCAAGUGUAGUAACAUGCCAGGGUUUUCUUUUGAUCCAUAUCCCUGCCAGCACUGUUGUCAUUUGUCUUUGAUCCUACCUAUUCAUGCUGAAGAGAGGCUAUUUCUAAUUGUGGCUUGAUGUGCAUUUCCCUUAUUAAUGAUGUUGAAUUCAUUCAUCAGCACUAAUUGGUUUUUCU
ensembl:snRNA U2 U2 spliceosomal RNA